rnacentral:rRNA from 1 species
UGCCGGCGACCGGCGCACGGGUGAGUAACACGUAUGCGACCUGCCCCCCGCAGGGGGAUAACCGGGAGAAAUCCCGACUAAUACCGCGUAACGCCGCGGACCUGCAUGGGUCUGCGGCCAAAGGAAGCGAUUCCGGCGGGGGAUGGGCAUGCGGCGCAUUAGCUAGUCGGCGGGGUAACGGCCCACCGAGGCGACGAUCAGUAGGGGUUCUGAGAGGAAGGUCCCCCACAUUGGAACUGAGACACGGUCCAAACUCCUACGGGAGGCAGCAG